rnacentral:rRNA from 1 species
UACGGGGGGGGCAAGCGUUGUCCGGAAUUACUGGGCGUAAAGGGCGCGUAGGCGGCUAGGCAAGUCAGGUGUGAAAGCCCCGAGCUUAACUCGGGAACUGCAUCUGAAACUGCUGGGCUUGAGUUCUGGAGGGGGUAGUGGAAUUCCCAGUGUAGCGGUGAAAUGCGUAGAUAUUGGGAGGAACACCUGCGGCGAAGGCGGCUACCUGGACAGAAACUGACGCUGAGGCGCGAAAGCUAGGGGAGCGAACGGG